rnacentral:rRNA from 1 species
GACGAACGCUGGCGGCGUGCCUAAUACAUGCAAGUUGAGCGCUGAAGGUUGGUACUUGUACCGACUGGAUGAGCAGCGAACGGGUGAGUAACGCGUGGGGAAUCUGCCUUUGAGCGGGGGACAACAUUUGGAAACGAAUGCUAAUACCGCAUAAAAACUUUAAACACAAGUUUUAAGUUUGAAAGAUGCAAUUGCAUCACUCAAAGAUGAUCCCGCGUUGUAUUAGCUAGUUGGUGAGGUAAAGGCUCACCAAGGCGAUGAUACAUAGCCGACCUGAGAGGGUGGUCCGCCACAUUGGGACUGAGACACGGCCCAAACUCCUACGGGAGGCAGCAGUAGGGAAUCUUCGGCAAUGGACGAAAGUCUGACCGAGCAACGCCGCGUGAGUGGAGAAGGGUUUCGGAUCGUAAAACUCUGUUGGUAGAGAAGAACGUUGGUGAGAGUGGAAAGCGCAUCAAGUGACGGUAACUACCCAGAAAGGGACGGCUAACUACGUG